rfam:Pichia sorbitophila strain CBS 7064 chromosome K complete sequence.
GCCUGGCUAGCUCAAUCGGUAGAGCGUUUGACUCUUAACAAAAAGAGUAAGCGAUCAAAAGGUUGCGGGUUCGACCCCCGCGUCGGGCU